rnacentral:rRNA from 1 species
ACGUAGGGUGCAAGCGUUAAUCGGAAUUACUGGGCGUAAAGCGUGCGCAGGCGGUUAUGUAAGACAGGCGUGAAAUCCCCGGGCUUAACCUGGGAAUUGCGCUUGUGACUGCAUAGCUAGAGUAUGUCAGAGGGGGGUAGAAUUCCACGUGUAGCAGUGAAAUGCGUAGAGAUGUGGAGGAAUACCAAUGGCGAAGGCAGCCCCCUGGGAUAAUACUGACGCUCAUGCACGAAAGCGUGGGGAGCAAACAGGAUUAGAUACCCUGGUAGUCCACGCCCUAAACGAUGCUGACUAGUUGUUCGGGAAUUUAUUCCUGAGUAACGUAGCUAACGCGUGAAGUCAGCCGCCUGGGGAGUACGGUCGCAAGAUUA